rnacentral:rRNA from 1 species
CGUUAGCGGCGGACGGGUGAGUAACACGUGGGUAACCUACCUAUAAGACUGGGAUAACUUCGGGAAACCGGAGCUAAUACCGGAUAANAUUUCGAACCGCAUGGUUCGAUAGUGAAAGAUGGUUUUGCUAUCACUUAUAGAUGGACCUGCGCCGUAUUAGCUAGUUGGUAAGGUAACGGCUUACCAAGGCGACGAUACGUAGCCGACCUGAGAGGGUGAUCGGCCACACUGGAACUGAGACACGGUCCAGACUCCUACGGGAGGCAGCAGCC